GGGGGGUUGGCUUAAUGGUAUAGCAUCUGUUUUACACGCAGCAGCGUGAGGGUUCGACUCCCUCAUCUCCUA